AGUGGUCCGAAGACAGUGGGUU
rnacentral:miRNA from 1 species